ACAGAGGGUGCAAGCGUUAAUCGGAAUUACUGGGCGUAAAGCGUGCGUAGUCGGCUUUUCAAGUCGGGUGUGAAAGCCCCGGGCUCAACCUGGGAAUUGCAUUCGAUACUGGAUGGCUAGAGUUCGGCAGAGGGAAGCGGAAUUUCCGGUGUAGCGGUGAAAUGCGUAGAUAUCGGAAGGAACAUCAGUGGCGAAAGCGGCUUCCUGGACCAGAACUGACGAUCAGGCACGAAAGCGUGGGGAGCAAACAGGA
rnacentral:rRNA from 1 species